GCUGGGUGUGGUGGUGCACACCUAUAAUCCCAGCUGAUUGGGAGGCUGAGGUGGGAGGAAGGCAAGUUCAAGGCCAGCCUCAGCACCUUAGCAAGGCCCUAAGCAACUUAGGGAGACCCUGCCUCGA
rnacentral:sRNA from 1 species